GACGAACGCUGGCGGCGUGCUUAACACAUGCAAGUCGAACGGAAAGGCCCUGCUUUUGUGGGGUGCUCGAGUGGCGAACGGGUGAGUAACACGUGAGUAACCUGCCCUUGACUUUGGGAUAACUUCAGGAAACUGGGGCUAAUACCGGAUAGGAGCUCCUGCUGCAUGGUGGGGGUUGGAAAGUUUCGGCGGUUGGGGAUGGACUCGCGGCUUAUCAGCUUGUUGGUGGGGUAGUGGCUUACCAAGGCUUUGACGGGUAGCCGGCCUGAGAGGGUGACCGGCCACAUUGGGACUGAGAUACGGCCCAGACUCCUACGGGAGGCAGCAGUGGGGAAUAUUACACAAUGGGCGGAAGCCUGAUGCAGCAACGCCGCGUGCGGGAUGACGGCCUUCGGGUUGUAAACCGCUUUCGCCUGUGACGAAGCGUGAGUGACGGUAAUGGGUAAAGAGGCACCGGCUAACUACGUG
rnacentral:rRNA from 1 species